UACGGAGGGUGCAAGCGUUAAUCGGAAUUACUGGGCGUAAAGCGUGCGUAGACGGUUAUGUAAGUCAGGUGUGAAAGCCCCGGGCUCAACCUGGGAAUGGCAUUUGAGACUGCAUAGCUAGGGUGCGGAAGAGGGAAGCGGAAUUUCCGGUGUAGCGGUGAAAUGCGUAGAUAUCGGAAGGAACAUCAGUGGCGAAAGCGGCUUCCUGGUCCAGCACCGACGUUCAGGCACGAAAGCGUGGGGAGCAAACAGG
rnacentral:rRNA from 1 species